GACGAACGCUGGCGGCGUGCCUAAUACAUGCAAGUAGAACGCUGAAGGAGGAGCUUGCUUCUCUGGAUGAGUUGCGAACGGGUGAGUAACGCGUAGGUAACCUGCCUGGUAGCGGGGGAUAACUAUUGGAAACGAUAGCUAAUACCGCAUAAGAGUAGAUGUCGCAUGACAUUUGCUUAAAAGGUGCAGUUGCAUCACUACCAGAUGGACCUGCGUUGUAUUAGCUAGUUGGUGGGGUAACGGCUCACCAAGGCGACGAUACAUAGCCGACCUGAGAGGGUGAUCGGCCACACUGGGACUGAGACACGGCCCAGACUCCUACGGGAGGCAGCAGUAGGGAAUCUUCGGCAAUGGACGGAAGUCUGACCGAGCAACGCCGCGUGAGUGAAGAAGGUUUUCGGAUCGUAAAGCUCUGUUGUAAGAGAAGAAUGAGUGUGAGAGUGGAAAGUUC
rnacentral:rRNA from 1 species